rnacentral:miRNA from 13 species
AGGUUGAGAUCAAUUGCAAUGCU